AUUGAACGCUGGCGGCAUGCCUUACACAUGCAAGUCGAACGGCAGCGGGGACUUCGGACCGCCGGCGAGUGGCGAACGGGUGCGUAACGUAUCGGAACGUACCUUUCAGUGGGGGAUAACGUAGCGAAAGUUACGCUAAUACCGCUUAUUCUGGGAGCAGGAAAGCAGGGGAUCGCAAGACCUUGCGCUGAUUGAUCGGCCGAUAUCAGAUUAGCUAGUUGGUGAGGUAAAGGCUCACCAAGACGACGAUCUGUAGCGGGUCUGAGAGGAUGAUCCGCCACACUGGAACUGAGACACGGUCCAGACUCCUACGGGAGGCAGCAGUGGGGAAUUUUGGACAAUGGGGGCAACCCUGAUCCAGCCAUGCCGCGUGAGUGAAGAAGGCCUUCGGGUUGUAAAGCUCUUUCGGCCGGGAAGGAAUCGUAUGGGUUAAUACCCUGUGUGGAUGACGGUACCGGAAUAAGAAGCACCGGCUAACUACGUGCCAGCAGCCGCGGUAACAC
rnacentral:rRNA from 1 species